rnacentral:sRNA from 1 species
CUUACAGAAGCCUUUGCGGGCCCUCCGAGGCCGCUGCAGCGACUCUAAACAACGCAGCCCUGCGCAAGUCAGCCCAGCUGGCAACAUAAUCGAAUUGCGGGGACGUCUUAAAGCCCGUGGCACCCCCUUAGCGAGGAAACUCGCUAGGCAUGGUAAGAGCCCACGGGAUACUUUCAGGUUUGCCUGAUCACUAUAGACAAUCCGCAGCGAAGACCCUAAGGGCCCUUGGGCCUAGGGGUAACGUUCACAGACUAAGUGGUUAUGGGCUGCGCCUUCAGGCGUGGUUUAAGAUAUAGUCGGUCCCCUAGGGAAACCUAGGGGGGUAGUCACGUUCCGUAGGUGAACCUGCGGAAGGAUCAUUACAGAGUUCAUGCCCUUACGGGUAGAUCUCCCACCCUUGAAUAUUAUACCUUUGUUGCUUUGGCGGGCCGCUUCGGCUACCGGCUUCGGCUGGUGAGUGCCCGCCAGAGGACCCUAAAUUCUGAUUUAUAGUGUCGUCCGAGUACUAUAUAAUAGUUAAAACUUUCAACAACGGAUCUCUUGGUUCUGGCAUCGAUGAAGAACGCAGCGAAAUGCGAUAAGUAAUGUGAAUUGCAGAAUUCAGUGAAUCAUCGAAUCUUUGAACGCACAUUGCGCCCCCUGGUAUUCCGGGGGGCAUGCCUGUUCGAGCGUCAUUAUAACCCUCAAGCCUAGCUUGGUGUUGGGGCCUGUCGUCAGACAGCCCUUAAAAUCAGUGGCGGUGCCUGUAGGCUCUACGCGUAGUAAUUCUUCUCGCGAUGGAGUCCUGUAGGAUGCUUGCCAACAACCCCUAAUUUUCUAUGGUGACCUCGGAUCAGG